rnacentral:rRNA from 1 species
CCUACGGGAGGCAGCAGUAGGGAAUAUUGCUCAAUGGGGGAAACCCUGAAGCAGCAACGCCGCGUGGAGGAUGAAGGUUUUCGGAUUGUAAACUCCUUUUGUUAGAGAAGAUAAUGACGGUAUCUAACGAAUAAGCACCGGCCAACUCCGUGCCAGCAGCCGCGGUAAUACGGAGGGUGCAAGCGUUACUCGGAAUCACUGGGCGUAAAGGGCGCGUAGGCGGGAUAGCAAGUCAGAUGUGAAAUCCUAUGGCUUAACCAUAGAACUGCAUUUGAAACUGGUGUUCUAGAGUAUGGGAGAGGUAGGUGGAAUGCUUGGUGUAGGGGUGAAAUCCGUAGAGAUCAAGAGGAAUACUCAUUGCGAAGGCGACCUGCUAGAACAUAACUGACGCUGAUGCGCGAAAGCGUGGGGAGCAAACAGGAUUAGAUACCCGAGUAGUC